GGUUCCAUAGUAUAGUAGUUAGCACGUCUGCUUUACAUGCAGAAGAUCCUGCGUUUGCACUCCAGGUGGAGUCA
rnacentral:tRNA from 1 species